rnacentral:rRNA from 1 species
AUUGAACGCUGGCGGCAGGCCUAACACAUUCAAGUCGAACGAGUGGCGGACGGGUUAGUAAUGUCUGGGAAACUGCCCGCUGGAGGGUGAUAACUACUGGAAACGGUAGCUAAUACCUCAUCCCCUCGUAUGUGCCCAGAUGGGAUUAGCUAGUGGGUGGGGUAACGGCUCACCUAGGCGCCGAUCCCUAACUGGUCUGAGAGGAUGACCAGCCACACUGGAACUGAGACACGGACCAGACUCCUACGGGAGGCAGCAGUGGGGAAUAUUGCACAAUGGGCGCAAGCCUGAUGCAGCCAUGCCGCGUGUAUGAAGAAGGCCUUCGGGUUGUAAAGUACUUUCAGCGAGGAGGCGUUACUCGCAGAAGAAGCACCGGCUAACUCCGUGCCAGCAGCCGCGGUAAUUC